rnacentral:rRNA from 1 species
UACGGGGGGGGCAAGCGUUGUUCGGAAUUACUGGGCGUAAAGGGCGCGUAGGCGGCCUGCUAAGUCGGAUGUGAAAUCCCUCGGCUCAACCGAGGAACUGCAUCCGAUACUGGCGGGCUUGAAUCCGGGAGAGGGAUGUGGAAUUCCAGGUGUAGCGGUGAAAUGCGUAGAUAUCUGGAGGAACACCGGUGGCGAAGGCGGCAUCCCGGACCGGUAUUGACGCUGAGGCGCGAAAGCUAGGGGAGCAAACGGG